rnacentral:rRNA from 1 species
GGAUGAACGCUGGCGACGUGCUUAAUACAUGCAAGUCGAACGUGAAGGUGGAUUUCGGUUCACCUGAAAGUGGCGGACGGGUGAGUAACACGUAGCUGACCGACCCUGUAGUGGGGGAUAACCUGCCGAAAGGCGGGCUAAUACCGCAUGGACUCUGGGGGAUUAGAAGCCCAAGAGGAAAGCAUUCGUGCCACAGGCCGGGGCUGCGGCCCAUCAGCUAGUUGGUAGGGUAAAAGCCUACCAAGGCGAUGACGGGUAGGGGACCUGAGAGGGUGGCCCCCCACACUGGGACUGAGACACGGCCCAGACUCCUACGGGAGGCAGCAGUAAGGAAUAUUGGUCAAUGGGCGCAAGCCUGAACCAGCAACGCCGCGUGGAGGAAGAAGGGUUUCGGCUCGUAAACUCCUUUUGUCAGGGACGAGCAAGGGCGGUACCUGACGAAUAAGUCUCGGCUAACUACGUGCCAGCAGCCGCGGUAAAACGUAGGAGACGAGCGUUAUCCGGAUUUACUGGGCGUAAAGCGCGUGCAGGCGGUUUUUUAAGUCACUUGUGAAAGCGCCCGGCUCAACUGGGCGAGGCCGUGUGAGACUGAAAAACUGGAGAGAGGUAGAGGCGAAUGGAAUUCCGGGUGGAGUGGUGAAAUGCGUAGAGAUCCGGAGGAACACCAGUGGCGAAGGCGAUUCGCUGGGCCUACUCUGACGCUCAGACGCGACAGCAUGGGGAGCGAACGGGAUUAGAAACCCCGGUAGUCCAUGCCGUAAACGAUGCAUACUAAGUGUCUGCCUAUAAAAGGGUGGGUGCUGGAGCUAACGCGCUAAGUAUGCCGCCUGGGGAGUACGGCCGCAAGGCUAAAACUCAAAGGAAUUGACGGGGCCCGCACAAGCAGCGGAGCGUGUGGUUUAAUUCGAGGCUACGCGAAGAACCUUACCUAGGCUUGACAUACAGAUGGUAGUGAGUGAAAGCAAACGACUUCGGAGUCUGUACAGUGCUGCAUGCUGUCGUCAGCUC